UAAACGACUCUCGGCAACGGAUAUCUCGGCUCUCGCAUCGAUGAAGAACGUAGCGAAAUGCGAUACUUGGUGUGAAUUGCAGAAUCCCGUGAACCAUCGAGUCUUUGAACGCAAGUUGCGCCCGAAGCCUUGGCUGAGGGCACGCCUGCCUGGGUGUCACGCA
rnacentral:rRNA from 1 species